GGUCUGCAUCUUUCGAAAAUUCUUACUUUCAAAGUUUCGAGACAUCGGGGUCAAUUUACAUUAAUUUUACUUUGACGGGACUAUAAAAUUUACUCAACUUAACCGAGUAUUCGAAUCAACCGAGUUCGACUCAUCAGAGGUAAUUAUGCAUUGAUCAAACAGGAAUUUUACCGGGACUUUAAAAUUACUUCGACUCAUUUGAGUUUACGACACAA
rnacentral:lncRNA from 1 species